rnacentral:lncRNA from 10 species
GCCCGGAGUUGGGCCGGGACGGGAUCCGGGAGGCUUCUGAGCCGGAGCAGGCAGCGCCUGGAGGCCAGAGGCCGUUCGCCCGCCUCAGGCCGGUCGGCCGCCGCUCCCCUCCCCUGCGCCCUGUUCCCGGCAGGGCCAGAGAGGCCGCCGCCUCCGCCCGGUGGUUCUCGGGCGAAGGGAAGCCGCGAAGCAGGUCCUGGGGAAGAGCUCGCCUGCUCCUGAGGGAAGCAGCGAUAAGAUGGCGCUUUGAAGGGGAGCCGAGGCCGAGUCACUCUGUUCGUCGGGACGCCGCCUUUCUAACGCCGCCGUCGGCUCGCACCACUCUGGGCCUGCUGCCCACACUGACUGCGGGGUCCGGGAGAGCGGGAUGCUGGCCGGCCGCGCCUGGCUUCUUGGAAAGAGCAGGAAGGAGCGCGAGAAUGCAGUUCCGCGGCAGAGGAGCAGGAUGCAACCGACAGGCUGUGGCCGGACAGCUGCUGCCCAGCACAUGGAGCCUGCACGCGCACGGUUUGGCCAAAGAAGCCCCCAUACUCCCGGUGAAAAAGAUUUCCAGAAGCUGUUCUGUCAAUAACAAAGUCUCAAAGAAAACCACAAAACCACCAACACUAAGAUCAUUCUUGAGUCCAAUUUGAAAAACUAGGGUCAAGUUCUGCAGAGGCAUUGAAAGGACAAGAAACCACCCUGAUACCCAUCGUGUGAGGGAAAAUGCUCUAUUCACCAUUCCUCAGCUUCUGCUUCUGGUUUCAGAGUUCUCUCUAUAUUGGAGGGUGUUUUAAAGCUAGAGUGGUCUUUAUCCACUUUUAUUAACACAUCUGAAUGUGAAGGUCAAGAGAGGAAAGUGAUAUGUCCUAAGUCAGAGUAGAGUCAACAAGAAAAUAAGACAAACAGCGACUGAGCCCCUGGUGUAUACUGGGCAUUGGCCAGCUACUGGGGAUAUGGAGAUGAAGAAAACAUAACCCUUCUUCAAGGAGCCCAACCUACCAAGGUAGACAGACAUAUAGACAAAUAGAUACUUGCAUAGAAAAAAAGAGGAAAAGGGGAUCAGUGUGACCUGUGUAACUAAGUACCCUAUAAACCCUCCUGCAACAGAUCAUAUUGCCCUUUAUAGUGGGGAUGGUAAUCCCAUCUGAAUUCCACAGGUACUUUGCAGUCAUACCACACCCAUGUGUCUGUCGGUCCUGACUGUACCAUUUAUAAACAGCUUCACUUUCAGCAGUUCUCAGCCCUCUUAAGCUAGGGUCAUUGUCAGUAGGGAUACUGCUUCAUAAGCACCAGCAGAACACCAAAGGAGACCAUAUGGGUGAAAGCAACCAGCACUG